rnacentral:rRNA from 1 species
GUGGGGAAUAUUGCACAAUGGGCGAAAGCCUGAUGCAGCAACGCCACGUGAGGGACGACGGCCUUCGGGUUGUAAACCUCUUUUAGUAGGGAAGAAGCGAAAGUGACGGUACCUGCAGAAAAAGCACCGGCUAACUACGUGCCAGCAGCCGCGGUAAUACGUAGGGUGCAAGCGUUAUCCGGAAUUAUUGGGCGUAAAGAGCUCGUAGGCGGUCUGUCGCGUCUUCUGUGAAAACUGGAGGCUCAACCUCCAGCCUGCAGUGGGUACGGGCAGACUAGAGUGCGGUAGGGGAGAUUGGAAUUCCUGGUGUAGCGGUGGAAUGCGCAGAUAUCAGGAGGAACACCGAUGGCGAAGGCAGAUCUCUGGGCCGUAACUGACGCUGAGGAGCGAAAGCGUGGGGAGCGAACAGGAUUAGAUACCCGAGUAGUCC